GGAAGCGGGAGUAGGUCCCUGCGUGGCUAACGGAGAAAAGAAGCCGUGGCCGCGGGAGGAGGCGAGAGGAGUCGGGAUCUGCGCUGCUGCCACCGCUGCGGUUGAUACUACUUUGACCUUCCGAGUGCAGCGACAGUGAUGUGUGUUCUGAAAUUGUGAACCAUGAGUCUAGUACUUAAUGAUCUGCUUAUCUGCUGCCGUCAACUAGAACAUGAUAGAGCUACAGAACGAAAGAAAGAAGUUGAGAAAUUUAAGCGCCUGAUUCGAGAUCCUGAAACAAUUAAACAUCUAGAUCGGCAUUCAGAUUCCAAACAAGGAAAAUAUUUGAAUUGGGAUGCUGUUUUUAGGU
rnacentral:lncRNA from 1 species